AGGACGAGCGCUGGCGGCGUGCUUAACACAUGCAAGUCGAACGAUGAAGCCUUUCGGGGUGGAUUAGUGGCGAACGGGUGAGUAACACGUGGGUAACCUGCCCUUGGCUUUGGGAUAAGCCCUAGAAAUGGGGUCUAAUACCGGAUAUGACUUACUCUCGCAUGGGAGUGGGUGGAAAGUUCCGGCGGCCAGGGAUGGGCCCGCGGCCUAUCAGCUUGUUGGUGGGGUAACAGCCUACCAAGGCGACGACGGGUA
rnacentral:rRNA from 1 species